AACGCACAUUGCGCCCCCUGGCAUUCCGGGGGGCAUGCCUGUCCGAGCGUCAUUUCUGCCCUCAAGCACGGCUUGUGUGUUGGGUGUGGUCCCCCCCCCUUCCCGGGGGGGGACCUGCCCGAAAGGCAGCGGCGACGCCCGCCUAGGUCCUCGAGCGUAUGGGGCUUUGUCACCCGCUCGGGAGGGGCCUGCGGGCGUUGGUCAUCCCUCAACAUUUUUCCACGGUUGACCUCGGAUCAGGUAGGAGUUACCCGCUGAACUUAA
rnacentral:misc_RNA from 1 species